rnacentral:tRNA from 1 species
CCUUCGAUAGCUCAGCUGGUAGAGCGGAGGACUGUAGUGAUACAAGCCCGUAGAAAUCCUUAGGUCGCUGGUUCGAUUCCGGCUCGAAGGA